CCUACGGGUGGCAGCAGUCGGGACUAUUGCGCAAUGGAGGAAACUCUGACGCAGUGACGCCGCGUAUAGGAAGAAGGUUUUCGGAUUGUACACUAUUGUCGGUAGGGAAGAAAAAAAGACAGUACCUAAGGAGGAAGCACAGGCUAACUACGUGCCAGCAGCCGCGGUAAUACGUAGGGAGCGAGCGUUAUCCGGAUUUAUUGGGUGUCAAGGGUGCGUAGACGGGUAUACAAGUUGGUUGUGAAAUGUCCGGGCUCAACCCGGGCCUUGCAGCGCGAAAUGGCGUGCUUGAGUCCGCGGAAAGCAGGCGGAAUUCGUCGUGUAGCGGUGAAAUGCUUAGAUAUGACGAAGAACCCCGAUUGCGAAGGCAGCUUGCUGCAGCGGAACUGACGCUGAUGCUCGAAAGCGCGGGUAUCGAACAGGAUUAGAUACCCCUGUAGUC
rnacentral:rRNA from 1 species